UUGGUGUGCGCAAUUAAUAAUUUACAAAGUUCAGGGAUUUUUAGGUAUUAUUUUCUGUUUUGGUUGCAAAACUCUCAUUUUUGUUGAUGGGCCCACCCAAAGCAACUGCAUUUCUGGCAGUUGUUUCCCUACGCAUAUGUAAUCAAGAAGAUGAUAAACUGUUAUAGCUGUAAGACGGGGAAAAAGAGUAAAAAGGAUGGCUAGUCUGGGCAUGUACUGGAAUACAGGAAUCAAGAAAAGGGCAGUAAUCGUUGCUAAUGUUGUAAAGGAGAAUGAAAAGAGAGUAGAAGUAGCAGAGAAGGUGAGAAAAUCCAAAGUAGUUAUACUUGGUGGAACUGGAAGAGUUGGUGGUUCUACUGCUAUUGCUCUUUCUAAGCUCUGCCCUGACCUUCACAUUGUCAUUGCUGGCCGAAAUAGGGAGAAAGGGACUGCCAUGGUGUCAAAGCUAGGAAAGAACUCAGAAUUCGCGGAAGUAAAUAUAGGCGACGGAGAAGCAUUAGAAGCCAAUUUGCAAGAUGCGGACAUUGUGGUUUAUACUGCCGGGCCAUUCCAACAGUCAGAAAACUGCAAAGUACUAGAAGCUGCCAUUCGGACCAAGACAGCCUAUCUUGAUAUUUGUGAUGACACACACUAUGCAACACGGGCGAAGUCCUAUAUGAAUAAAGCACUGGAAGCCAAUAUUCCUGCCAUAACUACUGGUGGAAUUUACCCAGGAGUGAGCAACGUGAUGGCAGCAGAGCUCGUUCGCACUGCAAAAGUUGAAAGCAAGGGUGAAUUGGAGAGGCUUAGAUUCUACUACUACACUGCAGGCACUGGUGGCGCUGGACCUACUAUUUUAGCUACUAGUUUUUUGCUUCUUGGAGAGGAUGUAGUUGCAUAUAAUAAAGGAGAGAAAAUCAAAUUGACGCCUUAUAGUGGGAUGCUUAAUAUUGACUUUGGAUUAGGGAUCGGCAAGAAGGAUGUUUACCUCCUAAAUCUUCCAGAGGUGAAAAGUGUGCAUGAGGUCCUUGGAGUACCAACUGUUAGUGCUCGGUUUGGAACAGAUCCAUUCUUCUGGAACUGGGGAAUGAUUGCUAUGAGAACUCUACUUCCUCAAGAAUUUCUGAGGGAUAGAAGCAAAGUGCAACAACUAGUUCAACUAUUCGAUCCAGUUGUUCGAGCUGUUGACGGAACAGCUGGAGAAGCAGUGUCAAUGCGAGUAGAUUUAGAAUGCUCAGAUGGACACAACAGAAUAGGCAUAUUUAGUCAUAAAGGGCUUUCUAGAUCAGUGGGAAUUUCAACAGCUGCAUUUGUCCUUGCUAUUCUUGAGGGAAGCACAAAACCUGGUGUCUGGUUUCCUGAAGAGCCCGAAGGAAUUGCAGUUGAAGCAAGGGAAGUUCUUCUCCAAAGAGCUUCCCAGGGAACUAUAAACUUCAUAAUUAACAAGGCGCCAUGGAUGGUAGAAACAAAUCCUAAAGAGCUCGGUUUUGGGAUAUAUUCGUAAACUCAGUACAGAUAUUUGACUGAUCAAGUUCGAGCACGAACUGAAGCUGCCAUCCUGAAUUUUCUUAAAGCACUAAAUUCAAAUUCUCCCUCAAUUUCCGAUCUAUCACUGGUUCAGGUGCUUAGUUCCAGGUUCGACAGUGAUUCUUCGGGCACGCUGUUCUACAUCCUCUGUUGUGGUGAGUCCUCAUGUUCUGAGGACGUGAUGUCUGAUGUUGGUUUCACGGAAUUGUUUACAUUUUAUAACUGAGUAUGAGUCAGUUGGGGCAUGUCUCAAUGUCUCGCUGGUUUUAUUGAUUUUCUUAGAGGCUUGUCAGACUAGUAUAGAUGUUGGGAGUUGACUAAUAAGUCGUAUUUUGUUAUCUUUCUGAAAUUCUUUUAUUCUUGGAUGAUGAUUACUCUGUUGAUAUUUGAGGGUUAUUUAUGAAAACCCCGUUGAUUUGUGUU